rnacentral:tRNA from 1 species
GCCUUCGUGGUGUAGUGGUCAGCACGUUCGACACGAGGUCGAGUUGUCCGUGGUUCGAGUCCCAGCGAGGGCA